GUCUGGAUUGUUUUAAUGUUUUAUGCGCUCAGUUGUUGGUAUAGGCUACAACGUUCUUCUCACACUACUCUAUUAGCAGCAAGCUAAUGUCUGUGUAAGCUAAGCUACUUUAGCGAUCGUUUGCCUCGUUCCUAUUAUUACACGUCAGUGCAGUGUAGGACGUAAUGUUAAGUUCACAGACAAUUAGAAAACCCUUUCACCUUUUUAUGGUUCCAAAAGUUGUAUUUUAUGUUUGCGUUCCAGAGUGUGAUUAUUAUUUGUUGUUUCAGCAGCAAGUUGUGGAAAACAUGGCGCAGUCUGUUCUUGCAAGGGAAAUUAGUGGCAAUCUACCAACCUACAACAUCAACUCCCACUGUUGGCCACAGUACCACUGCAAACACUUCUCGACCUUCAACCACAACAGUUAAUCAAGCUUUAAAAAGGCAAUUUCCAGGCAUUUUAAUAAGUCAGAGGCCAAGAAAGGAAAGGGCAGGAUCAGCAGCCCCAGCUAUCCCAAAAGAGUCACAAACAUUCCCAUAUAUGUCCUGCCAGCCCCACCAACCUCACCCCCAGAACUUCAGAAGAGCUUGUCUUAGCCCGUGCUGGUUUAGGAAAAAGAGCAUUAUGUUAGCUAUGGCACUUAUGACACUGUUCAUUCCUCAUCUGUUCUUUGUGAUCCAUGGACUGGAGAUUUAGUUUAAACUUGUAUUUCUUAAUUACAGUCAACAGAAUCCCUGACCUGCAUGUUUUAGGUCAGGCAUCUCGAACCCAGCUCCUCCUGAGCUACUAUCUUUCUUGUUUUGCAGCUAACCCUGCCUCAGUGAUUCUUGCUUAGCUGGAUUGAUUGAACAUACCUGAUCUAGGUGAGCAUUAACUACUGAAGCACGGUUAACUGUAAAACAAGCAGGGCAAUAGCUCACGACGAACAGGGUGGGAGAUGCCUGUUUUAAAAGUUUUCCUGCUUCAGCACAUCUGACUUCAUAUUAUUAAAACAUGCGUACAAUCAGCUGAUUCAAAUGUGUCGAGGGAAUAAAAACCAUGAAGGUCAGGAAACCCCUAGGUAUUAAAUUCAGAAACCCCAAUCUUAGAAAGCCGUUUUAAUCGUUCUUAUCGAUUCGCAUUCUUUGGAAAAAAUAUAAUAACAAUGCAACAGUUGAUGUUUGAAAUUUGAUUUUAUUUGCUUUUGAUGUAAAACUAAGUACAUUUUUGUGCUGUCUUCAAUAAACAAAGUCCUAAAAAA